GACGAACGCUGGCGGCGUGCUUAACACAUGCAAGUCGAACGGAAAGGCCCUGCUUUUGUGGGGUGCUCGAGUGGCGAAAGGGUGAGUAAAAAGUGAGUAACCUGCCAUUGAAUUUGGGAUAAAUUCAGGAAAGUGGGGAUAAUAAGGGAUAGGAGAUAGUGCUGCAUGGUGGGGGUUGGAAAGGUUCGGGGGUUGGGGAGGGACGCGCGGAGGAUCAGCUUGUUGGUGGGGUAGUGGCUUACCAAGGCUUUGACGGGUAGCCGGCCUGAGAGGGUGACCGGCCACAUUCUCACUGAGAUACCGCCCAGACUCCUCCUCUAGACAUCAUUUCUCAAUAUUGCACCCUGGUCUGCAGCCUGCUGCCGCACCUCCUCCUUCGAUAUGACGGCCUUCGGGUUGUACACCUCUUUCGCCUUUGACGAAGCGUUAUUGACAAUAAUUUGUAAAGAAGCACCGGCUAACUACCUG
rnacentral:rRNA from 1 species